UAGGGAAUCUUCCACAAUGGGCGAAAGCCUGAUGGAGCAACACCGCGUGAGUGAAGAAGGGUUUCGGCUCGUAAAACUCUGUUGUUAAAGAAGAACAUAUCUGAGAGUAACUGUUCAGGUAUUGACGGUAUUUAACCAGAAAGCCACGGCUAACUACGUGCCAG
rnacentral:rRNA from 1 species